GGUUAAGAAAGUUGGGGCAUCUGGGGAGUUCGGUCAUAUUCUCCGUGGUCGUGCACAACUAUAAAAUUCAUUGGCAGUCAGCUCCUCACACUGUUAAACUGUCUUUGGUUCCUUUCUGUUUUACUGAUAUCAAAUAAGGUUAUUUUUAGCAACAGCCAGCUGGUUGUUUAUGCAGCCUUGAGCUUGGCUGUGACAGAGGACGGAAAUUAGAGAUAUCAAGAAACAAAUAGAUAGAAAUGAAACGACAUGCUAAAAUAUAUUUUAACUACUUUCAUGGACUGUGACCUUUCAAAAUAAAAGCUAAGAUCAGACAAAUAGGUUGACGUAUAACAGCAUGUGUGAGACAAAGCUCUGAAUGACAGCUUUGAAUCAGUGUGACACAGUUAAUGAUGCAAAAUUUAGUCAUAGCGGGCAUGAAAACUGAGACUAUUCAAUAAUCAAACAAUAGCUGCACAUGCAAAGAACAUCUACAGUUUAUUCAGCAAUAUCCAGCCCACCACCUAGAAGAAGGUUAUUUCAGUAAAUCCUGUUACUUUCAAGAACUUAACAUCUAAACAACACAACUUCACAAAUUAAUUCUUCCUCUGCUUUUAGAGAAACUUUCUGAAAAGUCACAGAACUGCGCCCAUUAAAUUGUAAUCUGCCAUAAUGAGAAAGUUUCCUGUGGUCAUAAAAUGUGUAAAUCAGGUGUGGGUUGUCAGCACGAACUGAGGAUUUACCAUAUUAAAAUUUUCCACUUUUCCUCUCAAUUCUUAUCUUUCAUAUAGUCAUCUGUCUGUUUUUGUGUUUCUCUUCCACCUUCCCUAAACAAAAUGGUAAAUAUAUCUGAAAGUGAGAAACACAAAAACAGUUAAAACACUGAAAGCUAUUUAUAAAAUCAGACAGAGGGGAAAGGUACACAGGUCAUGGAGAUGUGUCCUUCACUGCUGCUGCUGCUGGACUCAUAAUCACAGAACAUAAACAAACACACAAGUAUGCCCAGUACGACCACAAAGAAAUCCGUCAGAAGACAGCUUUUUACUUCAACACACCUCAGAAACUCAGAGGGUAAACUUGUGUUGUCAUUCAAUCUGGCUUUUUAGGUUUCUUAAGGUUUUAGGGGUGUAAACAUUUAAAAUUUGCCCUAUUAGUGUUCCUCCAAAGUUCUUCUAGGAAACAGGAAUAAAGAACAUUGUGUAACAGUUUUUGUUGGUGCUCAAUAUGGAGUCAUUCUCAUAGAGGGAAAACUAAAGUAACUGACCAGGUUUGAUGCUGGGUUUGGCGGUUUCAAAAGAAGUUUGGAAUUUUAUUUGCACUAAUUGUUCCCACUUUUUGGCUGUGUAGUGAUGCAGUGGUUUACAUUGUGUUAGGGGGCCUAUGUCUUGUACAUAUGUGGGUUUCCUGUCGCUGUCCAAAGACACGCUCUUUAGGGUUCACUGGUGACUCUGAAGUGCUUGUAGGUUUGACUCGGACUGUGAUUGGUUGCUUGUCUCUAUGUCAGCCGUGGUAUUGACUGGCAGAUAGUUCAAAGUGUACCUGUCUUACCUAAUGACAGCUGGGAUCCCAAGCUUACUUUUAUGGAUAGUUUCUUUCCUAUUGAAUCAGAGGAAGGUAAAUAUUGAACUGUUACGCAUUACAAAAGGUUCCCGAGGUUCAAAUUCUGUGGCUGUUUGGUGAGGGUGCAUUGGAGCCUAAGUAAUAUCAUAUAAUGCCACCAGAGGGCAGCACAGGCAGGCGGCUGAGGGCCUCUAUGACUGACUCCAUCUUUGAAGUCCUUCUGAAAGUGUGGUUUCUGUCUGCUGUGACAGAUUUGACAGAAAUUAUUGGCUUCCAAGCAAUGAUUUUUGAAGUCACACAGGACAGGGAAAUUGUUAAGAAUUAGUGUUUAUCUACACCAGCCAAUUUCUUAAUUAAGAAGAUGAAGAAAAGUAGUUAAUCCCAGAUUAAGGCUCAUUGUUCUGAUUUAGCUGUUUCAAAGUUGGCAAUUAUUUUACUUCAAAAAGGACCUGGCGGUGUCUUAUUGGGAAAGGUGUAAUAAAAGUCAAAGAUAGACAUCAACUAAUUGGUGAAAGUAAGGACAUUUUUGAAGAAGACUAAAGGUUGGAAACAGAUUUUUCUGAAGGAAGGCUGCAAUAAAAGUUUUGUUUGUGCUGAAUGAGUUAAGCCAAAUGUCAACCUUCAGUCCUAGUUGAAGUCUCAUAUUUUUAUCCUCUGCACAUCAUGCUGACCAAAUGACCCACUCAGCCACACAACGCAGGACUAAUGAUAUUAGCGUCUGUAGAUAAGGAAGGAUGAAUAUGUUUUUAAAGCUCCAGUAAGGAACUUUUGUCAGUUUUCGCUCCAGAGAAGUAGAGACUUCUCUGCUUAAAGGUGGGGUAGUCAGGAUCUGAGGAAGUACCAGUUUUUGGGAGAAAUCUUGAAUGUAAACUCUACCCCUCCUAACCAGUUUUCCCCUCAGCUCCUCCCUCUCUGCUCCAGCAAGCCCCGCCCACAAACAGACGCUCCUGCUUGCUUGUAUCGUUUCCAUUAAAUUCAGAUAUAAUGCAGAAAAAUACUUCAGAUAAUUACAAAUGGGGCCCAGUCAACGUGAAAGUAAAAAGCAUUAGUGCUACUGUAGAUGCCAACAGGCUACCAGCAAACACAAUGUUUGCAGGACUUCUACAACUAGGAUAAAGUGACAUACUCCAGGACCCGAGGUCAACAGUUUAGCGGCGCUACAACACACAGCAGGUCCCAACUGACAAGAAACACUUCUAUUACACUUGCCUUACUUUGUUAAAGCAGUUUACCUGUCCAGCAGAAAGGUUACGGGGUGCGUAAGAUCCCAAAGCGUCCCCCAUCAUUGUUGACCUGGCUUUUUAGCACUUGUCUGGUCUACCUCAGUUUUAAGCGCCUGUUAUUCCGCCAGAGUCUCGAGUAUUAACUUUGUUUUCUUGCUUGUGUUGGCAGUCGUGGCCAAAGGAGGAUUCAGACAAUUUUCGGUACUUUCUGGUUGGUUUCUACUGUCCGAUAUUGUAGCAUGCUAACUUUGUUUGGGCUCCUGAACGACAUGGGGGAGCAGCAUCUGCCUCACAACCAAUCAGGUUGGGGGAGACGAGAAUGGCUUUGUUUACAGUCAGAAAGAGCGGGCCACUCAAAAAUUUAAAAUGUUGACUGCACGGACAUAACCAAACACAGUGAUAUUGUUAAUUUACCAAACGUCAUCAAUGACUAAUAGCUAUUGACUGAUAUUAAAAGCUUUUUUGUAUAUACACCACAAAAUUAAAAUGCUUCUUUAACAGAUUCCUGCCUACUCCACCUUUAAGUAGAGACUGCUGCCAAAAAAAAUUAUUGGCAUUUAUUUUAAAUGUUUAAUAUGAAAAUUGUAUAAACAAGCCUUUUAUAGUCAGCUGCACUUACCAUGUAGCGCCAGUUUCAGGCAUUAAAAAUGACUAUUCAAAACCCACUAAUCUUGUCCUUGAUGGUCUUGUUUGCUUUUGGAUAUCCUGAAAAGACUUCUAUAUAAAUUUUACCCAUGGCAUGAAAUAAAAAAAUGUCCUCAUAGGAGCUUUAAGAUACUCUUUUGUUCACAAACACUGAUACCAUGUUUUUAGAAGGACUCAUACAUGAAUCCAUGAUCAGACCCUGUUUUUUCGUUGUUUAUCUCAAACUUGCCAACACACCGUUCCUGAGUGAAUGUCCUUAAGUGGUUUUAUUUUCUUACACCCCUCCCUCCUGAUUCUGCGAAGAAUUUAUAAAGGUCUCAUACGGGAAUCGCUUUGCCACUUACUGCACAGCGCUCUGGACCUGGACCAAGAGCAACAAAAACAAACUAUCUUUCAUGUCCACUGGGUCUGGUGUCUUUCUUUCUCCUCUCUUCGCCAAGCCCUCUGCUGAGCCCAUUGUUUGUUGCUGUAAGAGGAACUAGAUGACUUAUAAUCCAUCAAGAACUCUGUAAACCCCAGUGGCCCUCUUGACAUUUCAGCCUGCUGUUGUACGAGAUGGUUUCAACACCCGGUAUGUUAAAAAAAAAAAAAAAUCUGGUGUGGCCUGGAUGUGUUUGUGUAGUCGAUAAGGAUCUCCUGGGAUCAGGGUGUGAAAAGGAGAGUUCAAAUGCAUGUGUCAGAGCUGUGGUGAUUUGCUGGUAUGUGAAUAUGUUGUCACUUUAUGUAUGAGCAGGACAGUGUAUCAGAUUAUAACAGAUACAAUUGUUCAAACCCCCUGAGCCGAGCCGCCCACCUCCUUCCUCUGACUGUUCCUGGACGUCCUGAAACCAAUGUGGAUUUCACGCUUUCACAGUGGUGGAUGUCAUCUGCCAACAGUUUAUCCUAACAGUUUCCAGCUCUCUAUUGAUUUUUCAACAAUGUGUCAGAUUAACUUGCUGCCAGCACAAAUGGCUGUUAAAUGGAUGCCUUGACAUUUUGAAUUUUUGUCUAUCAUUUUUCCCU